UACGUAGGGGGCAAGCGUUGUCCGGAUUUAUUGGGCGUAAAGCGCGUGUAGGCGGCCAGGUAGGUCGGUUGUGAAAAUCCGGGGCUCAACCCCGGACUUGCAGUGGGUACGGGCAGACUAGAGUGUGGUAGGGGAGACUGGAAUUCCUGGUGUAGCGGUGAAAUGCGCAGAUAUCAGGAGGAACACCGAUGGCGAAGGCAGGUCUCUGGGCCACUACUGACGCUGAGAAGCGAAAGCAUGGGGAGCGAACAGG
rnacentral:rRNA from 1 species